GUUAAAGUGGCUUAAUUGGUAAAGCAACUGAUUUGUAAUCAGUAGAUUGUGAGUUCAAAUCUCAUCAUUAACU
rfam:Plasmodium yoelii yoelii 17XNL contig MALPY02672, whole genome shotgun sequence.